GCGGGCGUGGCGAAACUGGUAGACGCGCCAGAUUUAGGUUCUGGUGUCGAAAGACGUGGGGGUUCGAGUCCCUUCGCCCGCACCA
rnacentral:tRNA from 4 species